AAACUUAAAUGAAUUGACGGGACCCGCACAAGCGGUGGAUGAUGUGGUUUAAUUCGAUGCAACGCGAAAACCUUACCCACCUUUGACAUGUACGGAAUCCUUUAGAGAUAGAGGAGUGCUCGAAAGAGAGCCGUAACACAGGUGCUGCAUGGCUGUCGUCAGCUCGUGUCGUGAGAUGUUGGGUUAAGUCCCGCAACGAGCGCAACCCUUGUCAUUAGUUGCUACGAAAGGGCACUCUAAUGAGACUGCCGGUGACAAACCGGAGGAAGGUGGGGAUGACGUCAAGUCCUCAUGGCCCUUAUAGGUGGGGCUACACACGUCAUGCAAUGGCUGGUACAAAGGGUUGCCAACCCGCGAGGGGGAGCCAAUCCCAUAAAGCCAGUCGUAGUCCGGAUCGCAGUCUGCAACUCGACUGCGUGAAGUCGGAAUCGCUAGUAAUCGUGGAUCAGCAUGUCACGGUGAAUACGUUCCCGGGUCUU
rnacentral:rRNA from 1 species